rnacentral:tRNA from 1 species
GGCCCGUUGGUCAAGCGGUUAAGACGCCGCCCUCUCACGGCGGAAACAGCGGUUCGAUUCCGCUACGGGCUG